CACGACGCUUGCAGACGCUAGCAAAGCAUUCUCUCUCAGACGUCCAACAGCUACACAUGUCGUCUCUCUCCGCGGAACAGACCAGAUUCCAACUUCCAAAUAUCACCGGUGCAUGCCUCAUCAACACUGGAAAGACCUGAACAACUUAUGAAUAACUAUUGUAAGUUACACCACAAACCAAUGUUCGAAUCAUGUUAUGAGCAGCGAUGAAACAGAUCUCUAUAAACCAGUAAUACUUCCAUGGGAAUGACUGGCAGACAUCCACAAAGUGAGGAUACGAGCGAGGAUCUCCAAGGACGACAGGACAUGAUGUGCAACGACCUCUGCCAGAUUGUUGUGGACCUACCUGUACGUAUACUGAAUGUAUCCUGAGUGAAUAAGCUAUCCGGUAUACCUUCAGUAUACGUAACAGGAGGGCCCACUUUUCUUCAUAUCAGCUGACUGCCUCUCACUCACUUGCUGUCUCUCUCUUCAACACUCCAACACGUCGACAAGGAUUAUACCGGAAAAUAUAGGACUUUACAUACUUUAGAUAAUAUAGCAAUAGAUUUAGCCAUUCAAGAAAUUCAUCUAUAGCAAAAUUAAUCAAUACAUAGUCUACAUUUAAAAAUAGAGAACUUCACAUUCUAGAUAAUAUAGCAAAAGCUAUAGCGAUUCAAGAGAAUUACCUAUAGCAAAAUUGAUCAUUAAAUACAUUUAAAAAUAGAGAACUUCACAUUCUAGAUAAUGUAGCAACAGCUACAGUGAUUUAUGAAAU